rnacentral:rRNA from 1 species
UGGUGCUUGCACUAGAAAAACUUAGCGGCGAACGGGUGAGUAACACGUAAAGAACCUGCCUCAUAGACGGGGACAACUAUUGGAAACGAUAGCUAAUACCGGAUAACAGCAUAAAUCGCAUGAUAUAUGUUUAAAAGUUGGUUUCGGCUAACACUAUGAGAUGGCUUUGCGGUGCAUUAGCUAGUUGGUGGGGUAAAGGCCUACCAAGGCGACGAUGCAUAGCCGACCUGAGAGGGUGAUCGGCCACACUGGGACUGAGACACGGCCCAGACUCCUACGGGAGGCAGCAGUAGGGAAUCUUCCGCAAUGGGCGAAAGCCUGACGGAGCAACGCCGCGUGAGUGAAGAAGGAUUUCGGUUCGUAAAGCUCUGUUGUUAGGGAAGAAUGAUUGUAUAGUAACUAUAUACAGUAGAGACGGUACCUAACCAGAAAGCCACGGCUAACUACGUGCCAGCAGCCGCGGUAAUACGUAGGUGGCAAGCGUUGUCCGGAAUUAUUGGGCGUAAAGCGCGCGCAGGUGGUUUAAUAAGUCUGAUGUGAAAGCCCACGGCUCAACCGUGGAGGGUCAUUGGAAACUGUUAAACUUGAGUGCAGGAGAGAAAAGUGGAAUUCCUAGUGUAGCGGUGAAAUGCGUAGAGAUUAGGAGGAACACCAGUGGCGAAGGCGGCUUU